AUUGAACGCUGGCGGCAUGCUUUACACAUGCAAGUCGAACGGUAACAGGGAGCUUGCUCCGCUGACGAGUGGCGAACGGGUGAGUAAUAUAUCGGAACGUGCCCAGACGUGGGGGAUAACGUAGCGAAAGCUACGCUAAUACCGCAUGUGAUCUGUGGAUGAAAGCGGGGGAUCGCAGGACCUCGCGCGAUUGGAGCGGC
rnacentral:rRNA from 1 species